AUCUGUUUCUCCUGACUAAACAUAAGCUGACAGCUGCCCAAAAUAGUAAUCUUUGCUCGUUUUAUUUUCCCUUUUUUUCUUUAAAAUGCAACAAACGUAUGACGUAUCAAAAGUUAAUCUUAAAGCGUACAAAAUAAUCUUGUGAAUUUCCCUGUAUAAAAAAAAGAAAAAGUGCAAUGUUUUUGAUGCCAUACUACUGUUACCAUGUGAAUUCAAACUGGUUUGCACCAGCUGAUGUGGC